UGCUGCGAAAUUUGUUCUAAAAUACUGGCGUAUUACAUUAUGCCUUUACAUAAAAAUAUGCUCGACUCUCUUUAGCUGCUAACUUAGAAUUACAUACAAACAGUUAAAACACUUCACGACAAACGCCGUCAGCUCCCAUCUUAUGCCCAGGUGGACAGUUGUUAGGAACUGUGACAGCAUUCCUCAUUAUGAUUCCUCCGGGGGCUGGUGUGUCCACGGUGUUGCUGUCUCCGCCUGAUGUCUUGUCUUCAGCUUCUGCUGCAGCAAUAGCGUCUGCCUUGGCCUCGGCGACCUCGUCAGGAUACACAAUGCGGUCAGAGUCAGCCAUU